UGUGUGUAGAUUCCAGAACAGGGUUAAUUGAAGGCCACCAAACAUAGCUGCGGGCCAACUCUUUGGAUCGCACAAUACCUGGAUGACCGUCGUGAAGUUCUUGUAGAACCAGAGAUCUCAGCUUUGCAGGCACCACAACACGCAUUCCCCACAGGAGGCAGCCUUGGUGUGUGGUCAACUGUUUUCGCCUGUCAAAGAAAGGCUUGAGCUCCACGUCGACCGUAAGGUUAGGCCAC
rnacentral:lncRNA from 1 species